rnacentral:rRNA from 1 species
CCAGGCAGCCAUAUCACCCUGCAGCUCACAACUAGCAACCCACUGAAGCUCAACAGGUGUGUGCCUGGUCAAUACCUGGAUGGGAGACCUCCUGGGAAAAACUAAGGUUGCUGCUGGAA